AACAGCGGCUUGACCUGGUACUAUAUUAUAAGUUGCAACUCCUACUAUGUCAUGGUCGGACGUAUUUUCAGCAGUAUAAAACCCUAGAGCAGUCUCGCCUGGAAGAACAUAUAUUUCACGCUGCUGGGGCCAAAGCUUCCAGCUAAGGUUUCCUGCAACGUCGCCAUUGAAAGUAACUCUGAUUCUUUUAUUGUCUUUACGAGGAACCAUUCUUUCUGCAUUCAUACGACUUUGGUCGGUAUUAAGAGUGCCACCAUAACCUGUUUUCGAACAGAAAAGACGAUAUAAAGGUACAGCCGCAUAUGUCAAGCCCAACGCAAAAAUGGAAAUUGCAACCAGAUAAUAGAUAGUGGUCCUUUGAUUAUAGUGGAAUUUAUCUCUCGAAUAUUGUCGUGAAAUAUUCCUGGUACCAGAGAUGCAAUUGUAACAGCUAAAUGAAGUAAAAAUACAAGGGAAACGAUGUGAAUUAAAGUCUGCAAAUCGAGAAAAAGCUUUAUGACGAUUAGUCGAAUAGAAUCGUUUUCCGACAAAAAUAGGAUCUGCAGUUGUAUUUCUUUCAACUUUGGGUUUAUUAUAUGAGGGGGGAUUGAUUGAAUAGGUAGAAGAAGCAUCUUUUAAAUGUUUAGUAAUUUUACUACUUGGAGAAGUACUUUGAACUUUGCCCUCUAACGGAAACAAGUCGCCCCAAGCACUUUUCCUAGCUAAUCGAUAAGCUAGUUUACCUUGUGAUUUAGGAACAAUAUUCCUUCUAAGCCGAGCAUCGCUAUCACAGACAUCAAUUAUGACAUGUCCAUCUCGCUUCAGUGGAGGUCGAAUUAUACGUGGCCAGUUUUUAAGAGUUGGAGAUGUAACAUUCACAUUUUCUAGUAAAUCCUCAUCAUUCUUGAACCUUUGUGUGGUAUUAUUAAGCGGUCUAGUUAUACCCUUUUGAAUAACAACAUAACUGUAAUGAGAGCGAUCCGAGGAUCGACGAUGAGAACGAGGGACAUAUAGACGGGAAAAUGGGGAUAGGAAAAAAUGUUGUUUGAAAGAACAAAUAUUUGCUCUUACCCCAUUUUCUAUAUCAAUGGGGCAGCGACCAUCGUGGGGACAGGGUGCUACAAUAUGGGCAUUGAAUUGUUUAUCAGAAGUAUUUUUACUUUUUUGCAAUAGAAAUGUUCUAGCUCUUUGAAUCAAACUAAAGCCACGCUUUGUGCCUCGCUCGCAGAGCACCAAAAGACCACCAUCAUUUGACACGAGACUCCAAAGCGAACGAAGAUAAUCAAAGAGUUCUUUCUCCGAUUUCAUUUCAAGAAGCUUGUUAGAUGCAAUAACUAGAGUGUAUGAAUCCUUUUUACCCAAUGGUAGACGGUUAAGCGUAACAGGGCUAGUUGGAUUCGGCGAAGUUGACGGGUAAAUGUUAUGGUGAAUAUCAUAUAUGAUUUUUUUCAAAAAUGGGUUCUCCUCAACAAUUGAAACUGAAUUAGGUGUGGGAAAGACUGAAUAACUAGCUAGAGCACCAAUACCUGGACCUUUACCGCAAUCCAGUAUAUGUUGAGACUUGCAAGACACAUCACUGUUUACAAUUUUCAAGUCAGUCAAUACGCUGUAUAGAGAAGCAUAUUGAUACGGCAUAGACUGAUGAAUAUAAGCUAAAACUUGGGGAUCUGUCAUAGUCCGAGUAGAUUCAUCUUUGAAUGGCGCAGACAAUGGAAGCUGAGAUUCCGUAGCCAAAUCUUUUUUAAUAUCAUU
rnacentral:lncRNA from 1 species